GAGGUCCCGAGCGUUGUUCGGAUUCACUGGGCGUAAAGGGUGCGUAGGUGGCGAGGUAAGUCGGAUGUGAAAUCUCCAAGCUCAACUUGGAAAUGGCAUUGGAAACUACCUUGCUUGAGGUUUGGAGGGGGGACUGGAAUACUUGGUGUAGCAGUGAAAUGCGUAGAUAUCAAGUGGAACACCAGUGGCGAAGGCGAGUCCCUGGACAACACCUGACACUGAGGCACGAAAGCUAGGGGAGCAAACAGGAUUAGAUACCCUGGUAGUCCUAGCUGUAAACGGUGCUUGCUUGCUGUAAAAGGAAUCGACCCCUUUUGUGGCGAAGCCAACGCGUUAAGCAAGCCGCCUGGGAAGUACGGUCGCAAGAUUA
rnacentral:rRNA from 1 species